rnacentral:rRNA from 1 species
GAUGAACGCUAGCGGCAGGCUUAAUACAUGCAAGUCGAGGGGCAGCGCAGUGUAGCAAUACAUGGGCGGCGACCGGCAAACGGGUGCGGAACACGUACGCAACUUACCCAUAACUGAUGAAUAGCCCUCCGAAAGGAGGAUUAAUACAUCGUAAUACUUUUGAGGGGCAUCCCUUGAUAGUUAUAGCUCCGGCGGUUAUGGAUGGGCGUGCGGCUGAUUAGGUAGUUGGUUGAGGUAACGGCUCACCAAGCCUUCGAUCAGUAACUGGUGGGGGAGAACGACCAGUCGCAGGGGGACUGAGACACGGGCCCGACUCAUACGGGAGGCAGCAGUAAGGAAUAUUGGUCAAUGGACGCAAGUGUGAACCAGCCAUGCCGCGUGAAGGAUGAAGGUCCUCUGGAUUGUAAACUUCUUUUAUGAGGGAAGAAACCCGGGAAUUCUUUUCCGGUUGACGGUACCUUAGGAAUAAGCACCGGCUAACUCCGUGCCAGCCGCCGCGGUAACAC